UACGUAGGGUGCAAGCGUUGUCCGGAAUUAUUGGGCGUAAAGAGCUCGUAGGUGGCCUGUCGCGUCGGCUGUGAAAACUCGGGGCUCAACUCCGAGCUUGCAGUCGAUACGGGCAGGCUAGAAUUCGGUAGGGGAGACUGGAAUUCCUGGUGUAGCGGUGAGAUGCGCAGAUAUCAGGAGGAACACCGGUGGCGAAGGCGGCUCACUGGCUCGUUUCUGACGCUCAGGCGCGACAGCGUGGGGAUCAAACAGG
rnacentral:rRNA from 1 species